rnacentral:tRNA from 1 species
GGAACUUGAGGACGGGCGACGGCUGACUCUUAAUCAGCGGGUCAUAGGUUCGAGUCCUACAAGGGGCA